GCGGACGUGGCGGAAUGGUAGACGCCGGUGACUUAAAAUCCCCUGCCCCUCGGGGCGUGCGGGUUCGAGUCCCGCCGUCCGUACCA
rnacentral:tRNA from 1 species